UUCUUUCCAAUCUACUUCCUUUAUGAUUUCGUUCGAAAUCAUAUAAAGACAAUUCCUAUUUGAUAUAGCUAUUUGUGCAAGUAUUUUACGGUUAAGAAGCAACUGUCUCUUGUACAGAUCGUGUAUUAAUCUACUAUAACUAUAGGAUACUCCCCUUUCGCGAAUUACUGCGUUUAUCCUAGUGAUCCACAAACGACGAAAAUCUCUCUUUUUCCUAUCCCUAUCCCGAUGAGCCGAAACUAAAGCUCUUAUUUUCUGUUGAGUAAUAGUUCUAGUAAGCCUUGAAUGAGCCCCUCGAAAGCUUGAUGCAAAUAAACGAAUUUUUGUUCUACGUCUCCGAGCUAUAUAUCCCCGUUUAAUUCUGGUCAUUGAAUAAAUGAAACUUUGACGAAUAACUAAUUGAUUGCCUUUCUUUCAGUUAUUCUUUUCCCCCUUCCUAGUCUAUUAAUAACAAAACGGAUUUUUCCAAUGUAUAAAAUCAAAAUUCCAAUGGCUUUGGCUACUCUAACCUUCCCGACCACGAUUUUUUUUAGGUAUUUCACUGCGAAAUAAGACAGAACUAAGAAAUUGUAUUUUCCUAGGUAUCAAAAAUAUAGUAAAUAAAAGAAAUAAAAAAAGAAAUAGUGGGUUCCUUCGUUUCUAUGGUUACUUCUUAAACGGUGAGGUCUUCUCUAUACACCGGAGCCUUUACUUUAUACUUUAAUUUUUAAUAUUUAAUCAACUAAUUGAUGUUAUUGGGAACUUGUAUAGUUCACACGCUUUGGCUCUACCCAUGAAUUGUCCAGUAAUAGGUCUUUCACAAUCAGAUCUACCUAUACAGUAACGGUAUUUAAUUAUGAAAGUUUGCUGGGUAGCUGACCCUCUUAGUCCGUUCUUGCCAGAUUGGGAGCCUACCUAAUCUUUAUGUUUUAUGCUUUUUAAAUAAGAUUUCCUCCGCUUAAUGGAUAACCAUUUGUUACCAAUGGAGAAUUUCUUAUCAUCUUAAAUUCAGGUGAUUGGAUUUACACCAACGGAAACCAUAAACUUCAUACACAAUAGAGGGAUAUGGUAGAGUUUUUUUUUUAUAAUGGAUGGAGUUCCUUUUUCCAUCCUAUCCCAUUCACCGGUACUGAUCAUUGAUACUGUAAAAGUAGUUUUCUUGCUUUUUGUGCCAGCUCAUGAUCUAAACGAGUCGCACAUACACCCUAGUACAUGUUCCUCGACGCUGAGGGCACCCCCGAAGAGCGGGGGAUUUCGUGACAUUUCUGAUUGGCUGUCUUGUAUUUCUAAUAAGUUGUUUAAUAGUUGGCAUGUUGAAUCGUAUACAUAAUAUGAUGGGUUGGUUUAGAUUGAUCCUAACCGAAUGAUGGUGAAUUACUUCUAUUUAAUAGAAUAUUCAAUUCGAAGAUAAAAUCUCAAAUCAUAGAUCUGCGUGAAAUCCAUGUUCUUUUCCUUGAACCGCUACAAAAUCAACAAUUCCAUAAGCUUGGGCUUCUGUUGCUGACAUAAAAAUAUCUCUUUCCAUAUCUUCGUGUAUAACCCACACGGGUUGGCCCGUUUUUUCUGCAUAAACCCUUGUGAGGGUUUCACGCAGUUUCGCCAUUUCUAUCGCUUCCAGGACAAAUUCGCCUACUUGUGCCAUAUAAAAACCACUAUAAGGUUCAUGUAUCAUUACCCUGAUGAUAUAACAAAAUAAAAGCUUCCCCUAUCUCGCAUGAUAAAGCAAAGAAAAAAGAAAGAUAAAGAAUAGAAAAAAGAUAGAAUUGAACAACCGUACAGGCAUCUUUUGUGCAUACGGCUCUACAAGAAAAUUGACCCCCAUUGAAGAAAGAGAAAAAUAGAAUCUAUCAGACUCAGAUGGGUAAAUAAUCAAAUUGCCAUCCUUCCUUUCGGAGGAAUUCAAAAAUACUAUGAUGGCUCCGUUGCUUUAUAUGUUUAUUUUUUCUUUUUUUUGUCUGUGAUUCAGCAAUCCCAAAGUUUCUUUUUAAUCCGAUCAAAUAAGGAAAAAUUAUUUUUUUUUCGUACUCUUUCAUAACAUAAAUAUUGUUAAGAACUCUCCGGCAUGAAAACAAAAAGUUUGUGACGCUGAACUGAACUCCCGAUAUAUAAUAGAAAAUCGGAAAUACCCCUUAUCUCAUACUACUCUCUCGAUACAGAAUCUAAUGUUUUGAAAAAAAAAAACAAUACAAAAAUUUCUCAUAUCGAAUUCGAAGUGCCAUGCUAUUAUUACUUAGUAUUCAUAUGGCGAAGGCAUAGUCUUCUUUUUUCUCUCAAAUAAAAACCUCAUUGGCGCCAAGCGUGAGGGAAUGCUAUACGUUUGGUAAGUUGUCCUCCGGCCAGGAUAAAAGAUCCCAUUGAAGCAGCUAAUCCUAGGCAUAUUGUAUGGAUAUCUGGUCGCACAAAUUGCAUAGUAUCAUAAAUGGCGAUCCCAGGUAUUACCCAGCCCCCAGGAGAGUUUACAAACAAAUACAGGUCUUUGUUCUCAUCCUCCAUACUGAGAUACAACAUAAGACCAAUAAGU
rnacentral:lncRNA from 1 species